UACGUAGGGUGCGAGCGUUGUCCGGAAUUAUUGGGCGUAAAGAGCUUGUAGGCGGUCUGUCGCGUCUGCUGUGAAAAUCCGGGGCUCAACCCCGGACUUGCAGUGGGUACGGGCAGACUAGAGUGUGGUAGGGGAGACUGGAAUUCCUGGUGUAGCGGUGAAAUGCGCAGAUAUCAGGAGGAACACCGAUGGCGAAGGCAGGUCUCUGGGCCACUACUGACGCUGAGAAGCGAAAGCAUGGGGAGCGAAAGGG
rnacentral:rRNA from 1 species